UAGGGAAUCUUCCACAAUGGACGCAAGUCUGAUGGAGCAACGCCGCGUGAGUGAAGAAGGUUUUCGGAUCGUAAAGCUCUGUUGUUGGUGAAGAAGGAUAGAGGCAGUAACUGGUCUUUAUUUGUCGGUAAUCAACCAGAAAGUCACGGCUAACUACGUGCCAGCAGCCGCGGUAAUACGUAGGUGGCAAGCGUUGUCCGGAUUUAUUGGGCGUAAAGCGAGCGCAGGCGGAAUGAUAAGUCUGAUGUGAAAGCCCACGGCUCAACCGUGGAACUGCAUCGGAAACUGUCAUUCUUGAGUGCAGAAGAGGAGAGUGGAAUUCCAUGUGUAGCGGUGGAAUGCGUAGAUAUAUGGAAGAACACCAGUGGCGAAGGCGGCUCUCUGGUCUGCAACUGACGCUGAGGCUCGAAAGCAUGGGUAGCGAACAGG
rnacentral:rRNA from 1 species